CUGAAAGCAUGGGUUUGAAGUUAAAGCCAAUAAAGACCCGUGUUUCGCUUUAAGUCAGAAACUUUAAGCGAUUCAAAAUUACUUAAUUUUUUUGUUCUUUUUUUAUUUUAUUUUUUUAAAAAGUGCAGAAGUUGAAAGAGUUGUAGAUAAGGGAAGAAUUGUAAGUGUCGUAGGGAGAUGACUUGCAUUCAUUCUUUUGUAGUCGGCCG
rnacentral:misc_RNA from 1 species